UACGUAGGGGCAAGGCGUUGUCCGGAUUUAUUGGGCGUAAAGAGCUCGUAGGCGGUUUGUCGCGUCUGCCGUGAAAGUCCGGGGCUCAACUCCGGAUCUGCGGUGGGUACGGGCAGACUAGAGUGAUGUAGGGGAGAUUGGAAUUCCUGGUGUAGCGGUGGAAUGCGCAGAUAUCAGGAGGAACACCGAUGGCGAAGGCAGGUCUCUGGGCAUUAACUGACGCUGAGGAGCGAAAGCAUGGGGGAGCGAACAGG
rnacentral:rRNA from 1 species